UACAGAGGUCCCAAGCGUUGUUCGGAUUCACUGGGCGUAAAGGGUGCGUAGGCGGUCGGGUAAGUCUGUCGUGAAAUCUCCGAGCCCAACUCGGAAACUGCGUCGGAUACUAUUCGGCUAGAGGAAUGGAGGGGAGACUGGAAUUCUCGGUGUAGCAGUGAAAUGCGUAGAUAUCGAGAGGAACACCAGUGGCGAAGGCGGCGCUCUGGGCCGGAACUGACGCUGAGGAGCGAAAGCGUGGGGAGCAAACAGG
rnacentral:rRNA from 1 species